rnacentral:rRNA from 1 species
GUUGAACGCUGGCGGCAGGACUAACACAUGCAAGUCGAGCGAGCGGCGGACGGGGGAGGAAUGUAUGGGGACUGCCCGAUAGAGGGGGAUAAAUAAUGGAAAAGGUGGAUAAUACCGCAUACUGAGGGAGAAGCGAUAUGGGAUUAGCUAGUAGGUAAGGUAAUGGCUUACCUAGGCGACGAUCCCUAGCUGGUCUGAGAGGAUGAUCAGCCCCACUGGGACUGAGACACUGCCCAGACUCCUACGGAGGCAGCAGUGGGGAAUAUUUCACAAUGGGCUCAAGCCUGAUGCAGCCAUGCCGCGUGUAUGAAGAAGGCCCUAGGGUUGUAAAGUACUUUCAGUCGGGAGGCGUUACCGACAGAAGAAGCACCGGCUAACUCCGUGCCAGCAGCCGCGGUAAUAC